UACGGAGGGUGCGAGCGUUGUCCGGAAUCACUGGGCGUAAAGGGCGCGUAGGCGGCGCGGGUAGUCAACGGUGAAAGCUUGGGGCUCAACCCCGAGUCGGCCGUGCGAACUGUUUUGCUUGAGCACUGUAGAGGCAGGCGGAAUUCCGGGUGUAGCGGUGGAAUGCGUAGAGAUCCGGAAGAACACCGGUGGCGAAGGCGGCCUGCUGGGCAGUAGCUGACACUGAGGCGCGACAGCGUGGGGAGCAAACAGG
rnacentral:rRNA from 1 species